rnacentral:rRNA from 1 species
UACGGAGGGUGCAAGCGUUAUCCGGAUUUACUGGGUUUAAAGGGUGUGUAGGCGGACUAUUAAGUCAGCGGUGAAAUCCCCGGGCUUAACCUGGGAACUGCAUUGGUGACUGGCAGGCUUUGAGUGUGGCAGAGGGAGGUAGAAUUCCACGUGUAGCAGUGAAAUGCGUAGAGAUGUGGAGGAAUACCGAUGGCGAAGGCAGCCUCCUGGGCCAACACUGACGCUCAUGCACGAAAGCGUGGGGAGCAAACAGG